rnacentral:rRNA from 1 species
CCUACGGGAGGCAGCAGUGAGGAAUAUUGGUCAAUGGCCGGAAGGCUGAACCAGCCAAGCCGCGUGAAGGACGAAGGUGCCAAGCAUUGUAAACUUCUUUUGUCAAGGGACAAAAUCAGGCUCGAGAGCCUGACCGCGGGUACUUGUAGAAAAAGCAUCGGCAAACUCCGUGCCCGCAGCCGCGGUAAUACGGAGGAGUCGAGCGUUAUCCGGAUUUAUUGGGUUUAAAGGGUCCGUAGUCGGACGGUUAAGUCAGCGGUAAAACCCCGGGGCUCAACCCCGGCGAGCCGUUGAAACUGGCUGUCUUGAGAUGUCGAGAGGUAUGCGGAAUGCGCAGUGUAGCGGUGAAAUGCUUAGAUAUUGCGAAGAACUCCGAUUGCGAAGGCAGCAUACCGGCGGCGAUCUGACGCUGAGGCACGAAAGCGUGGGUAUCGAACAGGAUUAGAUACCCGUGUAGUC